UACAGAGGGGGCAAGCGUUAUUCGGAAUUAUUGGGCGUAAAGGGCGCGUAGGCGGCUUGGCAAGUGGAUGGUGAAAUCCCUCGGCUUAACCGAGGAACUGCCGUCCAAACUGCUUCGCUUGAGACCGGGAGAGGUGAGUGGAAUUCCCAGUGUAGCGGUGAAAUGCGUAGAUAUUCGCAAGAACACCAGUGGCGAAGGCGACUCACUGGACACAUAUUGACGCUGAGGUGCGAAAGCGUGGGGAGCAAACAGG
rnacentral:rRNA from 1 species